GACGAACGCUGGCGGCGUGCUUAACACAUGCAAGUCGAACGAUGAAGCUGGAGCUUGCUCCGGUGGAUUAGUGGCGAACGGGUGAGUAACACGUGAGCAAUCUGCCCUUGACUCUGGGAUAACUGCGGGAAACUGUAGCUAAUACCGGAUACGAGGCUCGAAGGCAUCUUCGGGUCUGGAAGGAAUUUCGGUCAAGGAUGAGCUCGCGGCCUAUCAGCUUGUUGGUAAGGUAAUGGCUCACCAAGGCGACGACGGGUAGCCGGCCUGAGAGGGUGACCGGCCACACUGGGACUGAGACACGGCCCAGACUCCUACGGGAGGCAGCAGUGGGGAAUAUUGCACAAUGGGCGAAAGCCUGAUGCAGCAACGCCGCGUGAGGGAUGAAGGCCUUCGGGUUGUAAACCUCUUUUAGCAGGGAAGAAGCGAAAGUGACGGUACCUGCAGAAAAAGCACCGGCUAACUACGUGCCAGCCGCCGCAGUAA
rnacentral:rRNA from 1 species